rnacentral:rRNA from 1 species
GUCUACGGCCAUGCUACCCUGAACAAGCCCGAUCCCGUCUGAUCUUGGAAGCUAAGCAGGAUCUGGCCUGGUUAGUACUUGGAUGGAAGAUCACCUAGGAAGACCAGGUGCUGUAGGCA